rnacentral:rRNA from 1 species
CGCCCGUAGCAAUACGGGAGCGGCAGACGGGUGAGUAACACGUGGGAACGUGCCUUUCGGUUCGGAACAACCCAGGGAAACUUGGGCUAAUACCGGAUACGCCCUUACGGGGAAAGAUUUAUCGCCGAAAGAUCGGCCCGCGUCUGAUUAGCUAGUUGGUGGGGUAAUGGCCCACCAAGGCGACGAUCAGUAGCUGGUCUGAGAGGAUGAUCAGCCACAUUGGGACUGAGACACGGCCCAA